ACCAACCCACCAGGCCAGAGAAGAGUAAACAGUUAAAGUACAGUAAAGUUACGUUUGUGCAUUCAGCAACCGUGCUUCUGUUUCUCGCUGCUGGUUGAUGAGAGAAUAACAGAUCAGAGCUUUGAGGAAGACUUCAGAUGAAGAGGAACAGCUUCUUCCCUGUGGCUGUUGGAGAGGAACUGACACCUGCUGAUACAAAACCUCAUGGACAACUUUUGAGUGUAAAGGACAAGACAGCGUGACCCAGCCAACAGGAGAUGUCAUUGCUACUGAAGGAGACACAGUUACACUUGC